GACGAACGCUGGCGGCGUGCUUAACACAUGCAAGUCGAACGAAGUAGCAAUACUUAGUGGCGAACGGGUGCGUAACACGUGACUAACUUGCCCUAGACUGUGGAAUAACGGAGGGAAACUUCCGCUAAUACCGCAUGUUGAGCUUUGGUGGCAUCACCGGGGCUUGAAAGAUUUAUCGGUCUAGGAUAGGGUCGCGGCCUAUUAGCUUGUUGGUGAGGUAAUGGCUCACCAAGGCAACGAUGGGUAGCUGGUCUGAGAGGAUGAUCAGCCACACUGGGACUGAGAUACGGCCCAGACUCCUACGGGAGGCAGCAGUGAGGAAUAUUGCGCAAUGGGCGAAAGCCUGACGCAGCAACGCCGCGUGAAGGAUGAAGGUGCUCUGCAUUGUAAACUUCUGUAGGGAGGGAAGAAUGACCUGCUAUUGGCGGGUUUGACGGUACCUCCAAAGUAAGCACCGGCUAAUUCCGUGCCAGCAGCCGCGGUAA
rnacentral:rRNA from 1 species